UUGAAAUACAGUGCUGAGCCUUAUACAGAUGUUUAAAUAUAAGAUAUAAAUUAACACUCAGGGAUUUUAUAUAUUCUAUAUAUAGUGUUCUUUUUAAAGGUAUUGGGUAAAAUGCAACCCAGAUUCGCUGGAACAUUCCUCUAAUGUGCACGAAUACUUUGGCUGCUCAGAACGGUUACUGCCCACACUGCCUUUUCUUUUGUUCUCCAUCCCUCCAUUAAUCUUGCUUUUAUUUUUAGUUCAUAUUAUUACUGUUUUAUUAAACGGUAUUGUGUAUAAUAUUAGCGAAAGAAUACUCUGUAGUGUUUGGUUUAACUUCAUGUAUGUUAGACGCAACACUGUAGCAUUCUUUUUUUGGGAGGGCGGGGGGCAAAGACAUACGUCUACAUCAGGCAUAGGCAACUUUUGGCACUCCAGAUGUUUUGGACUACACCUCCCAUGAUGCUUUGCCAGCAUUAUGGGGGAUGUAGUCCAUAACCUCUGGAGUGCUGAAGGUUGCCUAUACCUGGUCUACAUAAAUACUAAAGUGUGUAAAUAUAUGCAGGGCUCAAAAUUUCAGGUCCUAUGCUACAAGACAGGCCAAAAAGUAACUUGCCACUGCAAGCCUUGAAUACAAGGGGAGAAUUUCUACUUGCCAAGGCUAAAUUUUUACUCUCCAAUGGCUAGUAGGUGAGUGGACAAAUUUAGCCCUGUGUACAGAUGUGGCUAUGUUUUUUAUAUAUAAUUACAUUUCUUUUUUCUUUUUUUUUCAUAUUGUAUUUCUCACUGUAAACUGUAUUUAUUUGCCAAUUGGGCAUGCACUUUUUUUGGUUUUAUACUAUGUGUGUGUGUGUGUGUAUAUAAAUGUAUUUUUCUCCUUUAUACUGUAGUAUUGAUAUAGUAAUGAAAACUAGAGCACUUAUCUAUGUACCUGGAUACUAUAUAUAUAUAUAUAUAUAUAUAUAUAUAUAUAUAUAUAUAUUCUCAAAUUUGGUGCUCAUGGACAUUUAAUAAAGCAUAUGCCAUGGGAUUUGUCAAGGAAAUAAAAUAAACUAACUCCAGUUUGAAGUUCUACAAAUCCAUUUUGGCUAAUUUGGCCAGCAUUGUUUAAGAAUUCCAAGUGGAAGAAUGAACGCUUUUUAUAUUUUUUUUUUAUAUUCCCUUUUGUUUGAAUUAAUACAUCAUUCAGUGAAAUGUGAUUACGGUUGAGAUAUAUACAAAUUUCUUUCUUUUUUGUUUGUAUAUCCUGUACGGGUAAGAAAAUGGCCCUGUGGGGGACAAAUCUCAUGUGUCCCUAGCCCUCAUUUAAUACUAUUUUAAAUAUACUCCAGACCCCUGUCUUUGCAUUAUAUACAAGCUCAUAUGCUAAACUUGGAUGACCUAGGUCACUGCUCAGAUGAACUUAAAGUAAUAUGGUGCACUAAGCUCACUGUAGUGGUUAUGGUAGCUAAUGUGCCUCUUCACCAUUUAAUUUAAAAACAAAAAAUUCCCAGGUUUAUAUCACACUGCUCCUAAGCAUUUGAUAUGAAGCCAGAUGAUGGUGCCAAGGCUCUCUAGGCAACAUAAUGUAGUGGUUAUGGUAAGAACACUCCAUUUUAAUGUGCAUGCUCAAAGCUAUACAUAUGUUGCACAGUACAAGCUAAACAUACAGCCUUAUAAACGUGGAAGAUUAUAGCUGUACUGUUAAUAUAUCAAUCUCAUAGAUUGCUAGGGACACGGUCAUUCUUACAGUGAAUAUGAGGAAUUCAUGUAUCUAAUUAUAUUAUUCUUCCUGGUUUGAAGAGGUGUUGGUAGGACAACAUUAAUUGCUCCUAUUAAGCCAAGUCAAUUUUUACAAUUAUUAUUUUUUUUUAUAUGCAUAUUUUAUUUUUUUGGGGGUGCCUGAAUUACUUUUCAGUUUUGUAAUUUUGUACAUAUUUAUUUCAGAUGUAAUGUUUAUUUUAUUGAGAUUUUGUGUAAGCACUUUUUUAUUUUAUUUGAUAUAUCUAUUCUGAAUAAUUCUUAUUCUUUGUAAAGUCGAACAGGCAUGACCAUGGUGUGUGUGUUUUUUGUUUGUUUUUUGUUUUUUAAAUGACUAGGAGGUAGAAUCUAUUGUAAAAUGUUUCUUUAAACAUUGCUGUGAGUUAUUUUUUUUCUAAUAAAUGCCUUAACUUGUAAAAAAAAAUAUAUAUAUAUUUUGUGAGUUUUGUGUUUUGAUGAACAGGAGUUACAGAAAUAUGUUGGAGUCUAAUAUGAUCUAAAUACAAGCAAACGUUUUUAAUAUCUAUUUAGCAACUAAAGAUA
rnacentral:lncRNA from 1 species